UACGUAGGGUCCGAGCGUUGUCCGGAAUUAUUGGGCGUAAAGGGCUCGUAGGCGGUUCGUCACGUCGGGAGUGAAAACUCGGGGCUUAACCCGAGCCUGCUUCCGAUACGGGCAGACUAGAGGUAGGCAGGGGAGAGCGGAACUCCUGGUGUAGCGGUGGAAUGCGCAGAUAUCGCUUGGAACGCCAAAGGUGAAAACAGGUUGCUGGGGUUGUGCCGACGGCUGAGACACGAAAGCCAGGGGA
rnacentral:rRNA from 1 species